CCUACGUGCGGCAGCAGUGAGGAAUAUUGGUCAAUGGACGAGAGUCUGAACCAGCCAAGUAGCGUGAAGGAUGACUGCCCUAUGGGUUGUAAACUUCUUUUAUAUGGGAAUAAAAUGUUCCACGUGUGGGAUUUUGUAUGUACCAUAUGAAUAAGGAUCGGCUAACUCCGUGCCAGCAGCCGCGGUAAUACGGAGGAUCCGAGCGUUAUCCGGAUUUAUUGGGUUUAAAGGGGGCGUAGGUGGAUUGUUAAGUCAGUUGUGAAAGUUUGCGGCUCAACCGUAAAAUUGCAGUUGAAACUGGAUGUAUGGAGAAAAGGAGAGGGGGGAGGAAUGGGGGG
rnacentral:rRNA from 1 species